rnacentral:rRNA from 1 species
GACGAACGCUGGCGGCGUGCCUAAUACAUGCAAGUCGAACGAGCGGCGGACGGGUGAGUAAUGUAUGGGGACUGCCCGAUAGAGGGGGAUAACUACUGGAAACGGUGGCUAAUACCGCAUACAUUAGGAUAACCCAUAUGGGAUUAGCUAGUAGGUGGGGUAAAGGCUAACCUAGGCGACGAUCUCUAGCUGGUCUGAGAGGAUGAUCAGCCACACUGGGACUGAGACACGGCCCAGACUCCUACGGAGGCAGCAGUGGGGAAUAUUGCACAAUGGGCGAAAGCCUGAUGCAGCCAUGCCGCGUGUAUGAAGAAGGCCUUAGGGUUGUAAAGUACUUUAAGCGGGGAGGCGUUACCAGCAGAAGAAGCACCGGCUAACUCCGUGCCAGCAGCCGCGGUAAUAC